AGACUUUGAUCCUGGCUCAGGAUGAACGCUAGCUACAGGCUUAACACAUGCAAGUCGAGGGGCAGCAUGGUCUUAGCUUGCUAAGGCUGAUGGCGACCGGCGCACGGGUGAGUAACACGUAUCCAACCUGCCGUCUACUCUUGGCCAGCCUUCUGAAAGGAAGAUUAAUCCGGGAUGGGAUCAUGAGUUCACAUGUCCGCAUGAUUAAAGGUAUUUUCCGGUAGACGAUGGGGAUGCGUUCCAUUAGAUAGUAGGCGGGGUAACGGCCCACCUAGUCAACGAUGGAUAGGGGUUCUGAGAGGAAGGUCCCCCACAUUGGAACUGAGACACGGUCCAAACCCCUACGGGAGGCAGCAGUGAGGAAUAUUGGUCAAUGGGCGAUGGCCUGAACCAGCCAAGUAGCGUGAAGGAUGACUGCCCUAUGGGUUGUAAACUUCUUUUAUAAAGGAAUAAAGUCGGGUAUGCAUACCCGUUUGCAUGUACUUUAUGAAUAAGGAUCGGCUAACUCCGUGCCAGCAGCCGCGGUAAUACGGAGGAUCCGAGCGUUAUCCGGAUUUAUUGGGUUUAAAGGGAGCGUAGAUGGAUGUUUAAGUCAGUUGCGAAAGUUUGCGGCUCAACCGUAAAAUUGCAGUUGAUACUGGAUGUCUUGAGUGCAAUUGAGGCAGGCGGAAUUCGUGGUGUAGCGGUGAAAUGCUUAGAUAUCACGAAGAACUCCGAUUGCGAAGGCAGCCUGCUAAGCUGCAACUGACAUUGAGGCUCGAAAGUGUGGGUAUCAAACAGGAUUAGAUACCCUGGUAGUCCACACGGUAAACGAUGAAUACUCGCUGUUUGCGAUAUACGGCAAGCGGCCAAGCGAAAGCGUUAAGUAUUCCACCUGGGGAGUACGCCGGCAACGGUGCAACUCAAAGGAAUUGA
rnacentral:rRNA from 1 species